GAAAAUAAGAAAGGCAAAAAUUAAAAGAAAAAUUAAAAAUAAGGAGAGGAAUAGAAUAUAAGAAUAUAGAGAAAAAUUUUCUCUAUUUUGGAUGGAAUUUGGCGGCAUGGCCAAGCGGUAAGGC
rnacentral:tRNA from 1 species